rnacentral:lncRNA from 1 species
CCAAUAGCCAAAAGAUAUGUGAAAAAUGUUUGAUAUCCAAAUCAUCAGAGAAAUUAAUUACAAUUUCAAUGACUUAUUGUCUCAUACCGACUAUACUGGCUAUUGUCAAGAAGUAUAAAUGGGGAUCAGAGAAUAAACCAGCAGUCAAGAGCACCCGCGGCUCAGUCAUGGGAUUCUAGUUUGGACGCCAGCACCCACACCAGAUGGCUCACAACUUUCUGUAAGCCCAUCUCCAAGGGAUCUGAUGCCCUCUUCUGGACUCGUUGGGCAUCUGCAACUCAUGUGCACAUACACUCUCAUAGACAUACACACAGAUACACAAACACACAUACAUAAAUAAGUGUUAUUUUUUUCAACAAAAGCUAACGCGUCAGUGACAGUGCACAGAAAAGAAAUGAUCGUAUGAUGUUUGUGGGAAGGUAUCCACUUUUGAAAAAGCGUUUGGAGAUUCCUUCAAAACCUACAAACAGGAUUAUCAUAUAAUGCAGCAAUCCUUUUUCUGGGUAUGUAUCCAAAGGGAUUGAAUUUAGUUCGUCAACGAGAGAUACUCAUCUCUUUGUACACUGUAAAAUUAUAUAAUAGCUAAGAUGUGGAAGUCAUCCAACUGUAAAGUGACAAAGAGAAUGUAUGUAUGUAAUGAACAUUUAUAUAUGUGUGCACUGUGUGUGUGUGUGUGUGUGUGUGUGUACACAAAGAAGACACAGUGAUGUGCCGUUUACCAAACAGGAGCUUCUGUCAUUUCUAGCCAUGCAGAUGAGCACAGGAGGCAUUAUACUGAGUAAAGUAGCCAGACACAGAAACGCCAUAACCAUGCUCAAACCCGG